UACGUAGGUGGCAAGCGUUGUCCGGAUUUACUGGGCGUAAAGAGCGCGCAGGCGGUCGUUCAAGUCGCGUGUGAAAGCCCCCGGCUCAACUGGGGAGGGUCACGCGAUACUGAUCGACUCGAAGGCAGGAGAGGGUAGUGGAAUUCCCGGUGUAGUGGUGAAAUGCGUAGAUAUCGGGAGGAACACCAGUGGCGAAGGCGGCUAUCUGGACGGUUUCUGACGCUAAGACGCGAAAGCGUGGGGAGCAAACAGG
rnacentral:rRNA from 1 species